UACGGAGGGGACUAGCGUUGUUCGGAAUUACUGGGCGUAAAGCGCACGUAGGCGGAUUUGUAAGUCAGGGGUGAAAUCCCGGGGCUCAACCUCGGAACUGCCUUUGAUACUGCAAUCUCGAGUCCGGAAGAGGUGAGUGGAAUUCCUAGUGUAGAGGUGAAAUUCGUAGAUAUUAGGAAGAACACCAGUGGCGAAGGCGGCCUGCUGG
rnacentral:rRNA from 1 species